UACGAAGGGGGCUAGCGUUGCUCGGAAUUACUGGGCGUAAAGGGAGCGUAGGCGGAUAGUUAAGUCAGGGGUGAAAUCCUGGAGCUCAACUCCAGAACUGCCUUUGAUACUGAAGAUCUUGAGUUCGGGAGAGGUGAGUGGAACUGCGAGUGUAGAGGUGAAAUUCGUAGAUAUUCGCAAGAACACCAGUGGCGAAGGCGGCUCACUGGCCCGAUACUGACGCUGAGGCACGAAAGCGUGGGGAGCAAACAGG
rnacentral:rRNA from 1 species